GUUUGUUUUUACACUAGAAACUAGAAAACAAUACUUGGUAAGAUUUUCUGUUUUUGCAGUGCAAACCUCACCUCUGAGUUCACGUGAGUCCGUCUCACCUUUAAAAAUAAAUUACUUUUAUUUUAGUUUGAUUUAAAUUCAAACAGCAGCUUAAUUUCUAUCGAUUAUAUAAGUGGAAUUACGAAAUAAAUUUGCUUAAUUGAGACACGCUAGCUUUUAAUUAACUUGUUUUUUGAUAAGUUUUGAUUAUGAGAUGAGGCAGGCUUUUUUGCUGUAUCAAAAUUAGCAAAACUGCAAAAAAACACUUUUUUCACAUCACACAAGUCACAUGAUCAACAAUAGGAUGUUACUACUUUGUUGGAAAUGACAAAGAAGAAAACAGGAAGUAGCUGGAAGAUGAUGGCACUGCUUGUUUUUAUUGACUUAUUUUGUGAACAAACUUAUUCACAUAUAAUUUUACUUGCAUUUCUUAUUUAAAUGCCUUGCCUAACACCCCAUUAUGUGCCAGCAGAGGAAGCUGAAAUCAAAUGCACAACUCUCUGAUUGUCAAGAGCAUCAAGAAUGAAACAUUCAAAUUAUAUUCCCCUACUGCAAGAUUUUCAGUAUACAUCAGUGUGUGCCUGUUUGCAUUCAGCAUGUGCCGACAUGAAUGUUUGUGUCCUGUAGAGGCAGGAGGACCAGGUGAACCUGGAGGUGUCGCUCAGGCCCCAACUUGUUAGACAAUUUACAUUUUUCAUUGAAAUCCCUCGACAGUCAUGCUCCCACAUCAGCAUGGGCAAGGGGAGCAGUCAUACUGUAAUCAGGAAGUUGUGGGUUCAAUUCCAGUGUGGUUUGCCAUCCAGCGUCUCAGGAGGGGAAAGCAGAACAGCAUCUGGGAAGAGGGAAAAUGUGUAAUCAUCUGUAUUAUGAUUUUUGGAAAAUAUAAUCUAUCUUUAUAAUUCAACUGACCCCAGGAAGAAUAGUUGAUGCAGCAUGCUGCUGAUGCUAAUGGGGAUAUUAAUAAACAAACAUACUGACUUUGCAGCAAUCCCUCCUGAUCAAGGAUUAAUGAAACAAACGGCAGCAGACCAUAGCCCAACCACUGGGGGUUACACUGCCCCAAACUGCUUCACAUCUCGAGUUUCUGGACACAAGAUGUGAGCAGUAAGCAGUUUAUAUAAAUCGGAUAAAAAUAGCAACAAACACAAAGUAAACUUGUCUUAACUGUAUUUAUGCAAACAUUGUGCUAACUUAUUUACACUUAUUUCCAGCCACAGCCUUUAUAGAUUUAUAACUUUAGUUUCUUAGUUAUCUAUAUGUGUUUUCCAUAUAUAAGAACUAACCAUACUCCUAGAUAUUUAAAUUCUUUAAUCCUUUCCAAAGGCUGUCCAUAUAAUGUAUUAUUCCUGUAUCAAUAUUUCUCUUAUUUGUAACAACCAUAAAACAAGACUUGCUUGCUAAUAAUUUAAAACCCCAUUCAUAAGGCCAGUUUUCUACUUUAUCAAUUGCCUUCUUAAUAUUUCCUACUACAUGUUUUAUAUUCUUUCCCCUCAUCCAUAUGGCCCCAUCAUCUGCAUACAGUGCAGAAUUUAUAGAUUUAUCGGUAUCAGUCAGAAAAAAUAUCAUUAAUCAUUAUAUUAAAUAAGAUUGGACUAAUGGGAUACCUCAGUACCUUGAGGUAUCCCAUUUUCCACAUUAAACUCUUUUGAAUAAUAGUUCCCAAUCUUAACUCUUAUUUUUCUAUCCAGCAAAAAAUUUGCUAUCCAAUUAUACAUCUUUCCACUAAUUCCCAUCUGAUUAAUUUUUAUAAGUAGUCCUUCUCUCCACAAUGAAUCAUAUGCUUUUUCAAUAUCAAAAAAUACUAUAAUCAUUACCUCCUUCAUUUUUAAAGUUUUCUCUAUGUUAUUACUUACUCUAGUUAAAGCAUCCAUUGUUGAUCUCCCUGUUCUAAAGCCACGCUGGUAUCCAUUCAUUAGUUUCUUAUGUUCAAGAAUGUAUCCUAAUCUACUGUCUAUUAUGUUCUCCAUCCAUUUACUUAAAUGAGAAGCUAAAGCUAUUGGCAUAUAAUUAUUUGGACUGAUAGGAUCUUUCCCUGGUUUAUUAAAUGAAAGUAUUAUUGCCCUUUUCCAGCUAUUUGGUAUUAAACCUUCAUUUCCAUAUUUUAUUAAAUAAUUUUAAUAUUAAUUUCAAUGUUACUUCUGGAAUCUGUCAAAACACAGCAUAACAUAAUUGAUCCUCUCCUGGAGCUGAGUAUCCUGUCCCUUUCAGUACUGUUUUCAUUUCUUUCAUGGUUAUAUUCAUGUCUAAUAUUGACAUGCAUUCUUGACAUUUUUCCAGAAUACUUUUAUAAUUUCCCAGUUUUUGUAUUUUCUGCUGUCUGUGAAUGUCUGUCAGAUGUUCACCACUGUGAACUGCAGCAAAUGUCUCCCCUAAUAGAUCUGCCUUGUCUUUGUUUAAAACUAGUAUUUCCUGUCCUCGGACUAAGGCUGGCAUUUUAACUUCAUUCAUUUUCCCCGUCAUUUUCCUAAACAUUGACCAAACGUUCUGCAAUUUUAUUUCUGAACCUAUUGAGGAACAAUAUUCUCUCCAUGUUUUCUUUUUUAGCUUCUUUAAUAAUGUUGUGAAUCAUUGCUCUUUUCUUUUUAUAUUCAAUAAGGUUUUCGGUUGUUAAAUUUUCUGUAAUAUUUAAAUGCCUUGUUACGUUCUUUAAUUGCUCUGCUGCAUUCAUCAUUCUACCAAGGAACUACUUUUUUCUUACCUUUUAACUUUUAUUUAUGGGAUACUAGAAUUUGCAGCAUUAAAAUGUGUUCUGUUAGCUGUUUUGUACAUUCUUCAAUGUUGCCUUUUAAUGUAACCAUAUGGCUGGUUUUCUCACAAUUUAUUUAAAAUUUUUGCCAAUUA